rnacentral:rRNA from 1 species
GAUGAACGCUGGCGGCGUGCCUAAUACAUGCAAGUCGAGCGAACAGACGAGGAGCUUGCGCCUCUGACGUUAGCGGAGGACGGGUGAGUAACACGUGGAUAACCUACCUAUAAGACUGGGAUAACUUCGGGAAACCGGAGCUUAUACCGGAUAAUAUAUUGCACCGCAUGGUUGGAUAGUGAAAGACGGCUUUGCUGUCACUUAUAGCUGGAUCUGCGCCGCAUGAGCUAGUUGGUAAGGUAACGGCUUACCAAGGCGACGAUGCGUAGCCGACCUGAGAGGGUGAUCGGCCACAUGGGAACGGAGACACGGUCCAGACUCCUACGGGAGGCAGCAGUAGGGAAUCGUCCGCAGUGGGCGAAAGCCUGACGGAGCAACGCCGCGUGAGUGAUGAAGGUCUUCGGAGCGUAAAACUCUGUUAUUAGGUAAGAACAAAUGUGUAAGUAACUAUGCACGUCUUGACGGUACCUAAUCAGAAAGCCACGGCUAACUACGUG